CCUACGGGUGGCAGCAGUGAGGAAUAUUGGUCAAUGGACGAGAGUCUGAACCAGCCAAGUAGCGUGAAGGAUGACUGCCCUAUGGGUUGUAAACUUCUUUUAUAUGGGAAUAAAACGUUCCACGUGUGGGAUUUUGUAUGUACCAUAUGAAUAAGGAUCGUCUAACUCCGUGCCAGCAGCCGCGGUAAUACGGAGGAUCCGAGCGUUAUCCGGAUUUAUUGGGUUUAAAGGGAGCGUAGGUGGAUUGUUAAGUCAGUUGUGAAAGUUUGCGGCUCAACCGUAAAAUUGCAGUUGAAACUGGCAGUCUUGAGUACAGUAGAGGUGGGCGGAAUUCGUGGUGUAGCGGUGAAAUGCUUAGAUAUCACGAAGAACUCCGAUUGCGAAGGCAGUUCACUGGACUGCAACUGACACUGAGGCUCGAAAGUGUGGGUAUCAAACAGGAUUAGAUACCCCUGUAGUC
rnacentral:rRNA from 1 species